GACGAACGCUGUCGGCGUGCUUAACACAUGCAAGUCGAACGGAAAGGCCCUGCUUUUGUGGGGUGCUCGAGUGGCGAACGGGUGAGUAACACGUGAGUAACCUGCCCUUGACUUUGGGAUAACUUCAGGAAACUGGGGCUAAUACCGGAUAGGAGCUCCUGCUGCAUGGUGGGGGUUGGAAAGUUUCGGCGGUUGGGGAUGGACUCGCGGCUUAUCAGCUUGUUGGUGGGGUAGUGGCUUACCAAGGCUUUGACGGGUAGCCGGCCUGAGAGGGUGACCGGCCACAUUGGGACUGAGAUACGGCCCAGACUCCUACGGGAGGCAGCAGUGGGGAAUAUUGCACAAUGGGCGGAAGCCUGAUGCAGCAACGCCGCGUGCGGGAUGACGGCCUUCGGGUUGUAAACCGCUUUCGCCUGUGACGAAGCGUGAGUGACGGUAAUGGGUAAAGAAGCACCGGCUAACUACGUGCCAGCAGCCGCGGUGAUACGUAGGGUGCGAGCGUUGUCCGGAUUUAUUGGGAGUAAAGGGCUCGUAGGUGGUUGAUCGCGUCGGAAGUGUAAUCUUGGGGCUUAACCCUGAGCGUGCUUUCGAUACGGGUUGACUUGAGGAAGGUAGGGGAGAAUGGAAUUCCUGGUGGAGCGGUGGAAUGCGCAGAUAUCAGGAGGAACACCAGUGGCGAAGGCGGUUCUCUGGGCCUUUCCUGGCGCUGAGGAGCGAAAGCGUGGGGAGCGAACAGGCUUAGAUACCCUGGUAGUCCACGCUGUAAACGGUGGGUACUAGGUGUGGGGUCCAUUCCACGGGUUCCGUGCCGUAGCUAACGCUUUAAGUACCCCGCCUGGGGAGUACGGCCGCAAGGCUAAAACUCAAAGGAAUUGACGGGGCCCCGCACAAGCGGCGGAGCAUGCGGAUUAAUUCGAUGCAACGCGUAGAACCUUACCUGGGUUUGACAUGGAUCGGGAGUGCUCAGAGAUGGGUGUGCCUCUUUUGGGGUCGGUUCACAGGUGGUGCAUGCCUGUCGUCAGCUCGUGUCGUGAGAUGUUGGGUUAAGUCCCGCAACGAGCGCAACCCUUGUUCACUGUUGCCAGCACGUUAUGGUGGGGACUCAGUGGAGACCGCCGGGGUCAACUCGGAGGAAGGUGGGGAUGACGUCAAGUCCUCAUGCCCCUUAUGUCCAGGGCUUCACGCAUGCUACAAUGGCUGGUACAGAGAGUGGCGAGCCUGUGAGGGUGAGCGAAUCUCGGAAAGCCGGUCUCAGUUCGGAUUGGGGUCUGCAACUCGACCUCAUGAAGUCGGAGUCGCUAGUAAUCGCAGGUCAGCAACGCUGCGGUGAAUACGUUCCCGGG
rnacentral:rRNA from 1 species